GGGGGGUUGGCGCAAUGGUGCGAAUUACCCUUUUUCGAUUAUGAUUUCUUGAACUAAUAGUCAUGCAGGUAGCGCGUGUCUCUCCUAAAGACAAGGUUGAGGGUUCGAGUCCCUUGCUCCUCG
rnacentral:tRNA from 1 species